rnacentral:rRNA from 1 species
UACGGGGGAUGCAAGCGUUAUCCGGAUUUAUUGGGUUUAAAGGGUGUGUAGGCUGUGAGGUAAGUCAGCGGUGAAAUGCCCCCGCUCAACGGGGUGAAGUGCCAUUGAUACUGCCUUGCUGGAAUGCGGAUGCCGUGGGAGGAAUGUGUGGUGUAGCGGUGAAAUGCAUAGAUAUCACACAGAACACCGAUUGCGAAGGCAUCUCACGAAUCCGCUAUUGACGCUGAUGCACGAAAGCGUGGGUAUCAAACAGG